rnacentral:antisense_RNA from 1 species
GUGAGAAUUGUUGAUUUAAUUUUAAAUCAGAAAAUUCAUUUCCAGAAUAAUUUGAAUGAUUAGUUUUUAUUAGAAUAUCUUUCCAAUGAAUUUCAGUCCAUCCUAAAUGUUGUGCCAUUGAUGAUUUAUUUUUUCUCCACACAUCAAUAACAAUCGGACCUUUUCUUUCUAAAAGUUUGGCUAAAGAAUGAGCGUCAAGUUCGUUAGGCUUUUUUUCAUGAUCAAUAUAAUCCAAUAUAAAUGUAAGUUCAGUUUGAAAGAGUGGAUGUAAUGUACCAGAAACUACAGGCGUUUCUUUUCGAUUACCAUCAAAGCUUAACUGAACAUAAACAUCCAUAGAAUCAUCAUUUUCAGUAUCUUGAAGAAUAUUGUUGACUUCAUAAAUGUUCAAGAUUAAAUUAUCAAUUCGAAUAAUUUUGAUUAUAAGAUAUAAUUUAUUUU